rnacentral:rRNA from 1 species
GUCUACGGCCAUGUCACCCUGAACAAGCCUGAUCCCGUCUGAUCUCGGAAGCUAAGCAGAGUCGAGCCUGGUUAGUACUCGGAUGGAAGACCAACCACCUAGGAGGACCGGGUGCUGUAGGUG